GACCACGAGAUAAUUUUUGCAGAGCAGGCGCAUUGUUUAACGAAGAAAUCCAAGAUGGUGUCGUAUUGGAGGCAAGCUGGGUUGAGUUAUCUCAAUUUUUCCACCAUCUGUGCGCGGCUUGUCAGAAGAUGUUUAAAGCCAGAAUUACGGGUAGAGGCUUUGAAGCGUGAAGAAUCACUUAUGAAGACUGUGAAGUGGGAGGGAGGCAAACAAGUUUCAGAAGCCAAGUCCAUUUCUCAGGGAUUUUGAAUGUUUCAUCCAAUGUUGUGGUCUUUAUGUAUUAAUGUCAUCAUGAAGAUAUUCAAUGUAAUCAUGCCAGUUUUCUCAUCUUUUAUAACUGGAAGAAUGGUUGUGAAUAAAGUAUUAUUUUGAAA